GACGAAUGCUGGCUGCGUGCUUAACACAUGCAAGUCGAACGGUGAACAGGGGCUUGCCCCUGGGAUCAGUGGCGAACGGGUGAGUAACACGUGGGCAACCUGCCCCUCACUCUGGGAUAACUCCGGGAAACCGGGGCUAAUACCGGAUACGACCAGGCACGACAUCGGGUCUGGUGGAAAGAACUUCGGUGAGGGAUGGGCCCGCGGCCUAUCAGCUUGUUGGUGAGGUAAUGGCUCACCAAGGCGACGACGGGUAGCCGGCCUGAGAGGGCGACCGGCCACACUGGGACUGAGACACGGCCCAGACUCCUACGGGAGGCAGCAGUGGGGAAUAUUGCGCAAUGGGCGAAAGCCUGACGCAGCGACGCAGCGUGAGGGACGAAGGCCUUCGGGUUGUAAACCUCUUUCAGCGGGGACGAAGCGAAAGUGACGGUACCCGCAGAAGAAGCACCGGCUAACUACGUG
rnacentral:rRNA from 1 species